UUGGCUUGUAGGGCAUAUUCUUUUCAGAUUUUAGAUUAUGCAUGCACCUAUCAUGUAUGUUGUAGAAAAAAAUAGUUUGACUCACUAGAGAAAAGUGAGGGCACUGUUUAUCUGCCGGAUAGAUCAAGCUGUGCGAUUAGAGGCAUCGGGAUGGUUAGCUGGAGGAUACAGAUGGUACAGUGAGGAGAUUAGGGGAGGUCUGAUAUAUAUCCGAUUUUAGACAGAAUUUCAUUUCACUGAGCAGACUGGAUUCAAGAGGCUAUAGGAUGGUAGCUAGUGGAGGAAUCUUGAAGGUGUUGCACGAUGAUAGGAUUAUUCUGGAGGAAAA
rnacentral:lncRNA from 1 species